UACAGAGGUGGCAAGCGUUGUUCGGAAUUACUGGGCGUAAAGGGCGCGUAGGCGGCCUUCUAAGUCAGACGUGAAAUCCCCAGGCUUAACUUGGGAACUGCGUCUGAUACUGGGAGGCUUGAGUGCGGGAGAGGGAUGUGGAAUUCCAGGUGUAGCGGUGAAAUGCGUAGAUAUCUGGAGGAAUACCGGUGGCGAAGGCGGCAUCCUGGACCGGCAUUGACGCUGAGUGAGCGAAAGCCAGGGGAGCAAACGGG
rnacentral:rRNA from 1 species